rnacentral:rRNA from 1 species
ACCACGACUUCUCGACAAUGGAUAUCUUCGGC